GACGAACGCUGGCGGCGUGCUUAACACAUGCAAGUCGAACGGAAAGGCCCUGCUUUUGUGGGGUGCUCGAGUGGCGAACGGGUGAGUAACACGUGAGUAACCUGCCCUUGACUUUGGGAUAACUUCAGGAAACUGGGGCUAAUACCGGAUAGGAGCUCCUGCUGCAUGGUGGGGGUUGGAAAGUUUCGGCGGUUGGGGAUGGACUCGCGGCUUAUCAGCUUGUUGGUGGGGUAGUGGCUUACCAAGGCUUUGACGGGUAGCCGGCCUGAGAGGGUGACCGGCCACAUUGGGACUGAGAUACGGCCCAGACUCAUACGGGAGGCAGCAGUGGGGAAUAUUGCACAAUGGGCGGAAGCCUGAUGCAGCAACGCCGCGUGCGGGAUGACGGCCUUCGGGUUGUAAACCGCUUUCGCAUGUGACGAAGCGUGAGUGACGGUAAUGGGUAAAGAAGCACCGGCUAACUACGUG
rnacentral:rRNA from 1 species